ensembl:snRNA U6 U6 spliceosomal RNA
CUGCUUCAGCAGCACAGAUACUAAUACUGGAAUGAUACGGAGAUUAGCAUGGGCCCUGUGCAAGGAUGACACACAAAUUCAUGAAAUGUUCCCUAUUUGG